ACGCUGGCGGCGUGCCUAAUACAUGCAAGUAGAACGCUGAAGAGAGGAGCUUGCUCUUCUUGGAUGAGUUGCGAACGGGUGAGUAACGCGUAGGUAACCUGCCUUGUAGCGGGGGAUAACUAUUGGAAACGAUAGCUAAUACCGCAUAACAAUGGAUGACACAUGCCAUUUAUUUGAAAGGGGCAAUUGCUCCACUACAAGAUGGACCUGCGUUGUAUUAGCUAGUAGGUGAGGUAACGGCUCACCUAGGCGACGAUACAUAGCCGACCUGAGAGGGUGAUCGGCCACACUGGGACUGAGACACGGCCCAGACUCCUACGGGAGGCAGCAGUAGGGAAUCUUCGGCAAUGGGGGCAACCCUGACCGAGCAACGCCGCGUGAGUGAAGAAGGUUUUCGGAUCGUAAAGCUCUGUUGUAAGUCAAGAACGAGUGUGAGAGUGGAAAGUUCACACUGUGACGGUAGCUUACCAGAAAGGGACGGCUAACUACGUGCCAGCAGCCGCGGUAAUACGUAGGUCCCGAGCGUUGUCCGGAUUUAUUGGGCGUAAAGCGAGCGCAGGCGGUUUGAUAAGUCUGAAGUUAAAGGCUGUGGCUCAACCAUAGUUCGCUCUGGAAACUGUCAAACUUGAGUGCAGAAGGGGAGAGUGGAAUUCCAUGUGUAGCGGUGAAAUGCGUAGAUAUAUGGAGGAACACCGGUGGCGAAAGCGGCUCUCUGGUCUGUAACUGACGCUGAGGCUCGAAAGCGUGGGGAGCGAACAGGAUUAGAUACCCUGGUAGUCCACGCCGUAAACGAUGAGUGCUAGGUGUUGGAUCCUUUCCGGGAUUCAGUGCCGCAGCUAACGCAUUAAGCACUCCGCCUGGGGAGUACGACCGCAAGGUUGAAACUCAAAGGAAUUGACGGGGGCCCGCACAAGCGGUGGAGCAU
rnacentral:rRNA from 1 species